rnacentral:lncRNA from 1 species
AUCAAUGUGUAGUUUGUUUGGCCUACGGGAAUUAAGAAACCAGAAUCAUGUAAGCCAUUCAUUAAUUGUAUGCUCUAUCAUAUGGAUUAACAAUUCUAUCUUUUUGGGUACACCGUAGUGGGGUUGCUGGAGUGUUUGUUUUUUUUGAAAUAUGUUUCUCACGGAUGAAUUUGAAGCUUUUGGAAGAGAAUUCCUUGUCGGGUCCAGUCGGGCGAGGACCUGGACCCGUUUAAAAAGAGCGGAGGGGCUCAGGCGCAUCACGAGUCGAGGACCAUCCCAACGGUCGGGAAGUUUAAAGUUGACUUCGGCUCCUACUUUCGACAUAAGCCCCUGACAAUUGGUAUAAUUACCAAGUGAUUAUGAACUUCUGCCACGUUUGCAGAUUUUAGUUCUCUUUCCGACAGCAAAAGAUGGGGGACAUGGGUAGCAUAAAAGAAAUAAAAAAGAGGGACAAGGAUGGCAUCUUCCCCUUGCGGUGAAACCGACAAGUCAAUGGAAUCAGCCGAUCCAACACAUUUUGUCCUUUCUCGCAAAUAAAAAGGUCAUUUGCCCUUCAUUCUGUGACCAAAUAUUCAAGAACAAAAAGUGAGAGGUGGUCAGUAUUUGUAUUCGGGUCUAAACAUACUAUACUAUACAGUUAUCUUGAGUGGUUUCUCACAAAAAAGAAAAGGAAUUUUUUUUAAAACAUUGUAAUUGCACGACGACCCUGAACCCUUGAUUUCCCGUGCUUAGGUUGCAUUCUUGGCCAAUAGC